CUGGACUGAAGAGUCCACACUGCAGACUGGAAACUCUUAGUCUUUCAGGCUGUCUGGUCUCAGAGGAAGGCUCUACUUCUAUGGCCUCAGCUCUAUUCUCCAACCCCUCCCAUCUGAGAGUGCUGGACCUGAGCUACAAUCAUCCAGGAGUUUCAGGAGUGAAGCUGCUGUCAGCUGGACUUAAGGAUCCAAACUGGAGACUGGACACUCAUGACGGACCAUGGUGGACUGCAGUGGUUGAGACCUGGUCUGAGGAAGUGUGAGUGUGUUUAAAGUUUGAUUCAUGAGAACUCAGCUGCAUGUUACACUAGAUUUUACAUUUUCUUGACUGAAGUACGAUGAUGAAUUUCUCCAGAGUUUCAGCCAGGAUCUGUUUUUUGUCAGUGUGGCUGGAAAGAAUUCAAUCAAUCAAUUUAAAAUUCACAAACACAACAAACUAAACAAAGUAAUCCAACACAACUAAUACAUAUAUUUUAUUUACAGUCAAGCCAAUAGAAAGCUAACGUUGUUUCUUUUGUCACUGAUAUUAGAGAAGAGCGUUGUUGCCUUCAUGUACUGCUUGUAAACUCGUACUUCUGACAUAUAAGUUGAUGAGUUUUC